CGACGCUGGCGGCAUGCCUAACACAUGCAAGUCGAACGAGAAAGUUCCUUCGGGAGCAAUUAAAGUGGCGCACGGGUGAGUAACGCGUAGACAAUCUGCCCUUCAGUCUGGGACAACUUUUCGAAAGGAGAGCUAAUACCGGAUAACAAUGCAUGACACAAGUUGUAUAUUUGAAAGCUUUAUGUGCUGAAGGAGGGGUCUGCGUCCCAUUAGCUAGUUGGUAAGGUAAAGGCUUACCAAGGCAACGAUGGGUAGCGGGUUUGAGAGGACGAUCCGCCACACUGGAACUGAGACACGGUCCAGACUCCUACGGGAGGCAGCAGUGGGGAAUAUUGCACAAUGGAGGAAACUCUGAUGCAGCAAUGUCGCGUGAGUGAAGAAGGCCCUUGGGUCGUAAAGCUCUUUUAUGGGGGAAGAUGAUGACGGUACCCCAAGAAUAAGCACCGGCUAACUAUGUGCCAGCAGCCGCGGUAAUACAUAGGGUGCGAGCGUUGUUCGGAAUUACUGGGCGUAAAGGGCGCGCAGGCGGAAUAGUAAGUCGGAGGUGAAAGCCCGGGGCUCAACCCCGGAGGGUCUUUCGAAACUACUAAUCUAGAGAGGGUCAGGGGCCGGCAGAAUUCCUGGUGUAGAGGUGAAAUUCGUAGAUAUCAGGAGGAAUACCGGUGGCGAAGGCGGCCGGCUGGGGCCACUCUGACGCUGAGGCGCGAAAGCGUGGGGAGCAAACAGGAUUAGAUACCCUGGUAGUCCACGCCGUAAACGAUGAGCACUGGACGUCCGGAGGGUUCGACCCUUCUGGGUGUCUCAGCUAACGCAUUAAGUGCUCCGCCUGGGGAGUACGGUCGCAGAACUAACUAAUGGAUACG
rnacentral:rRNA from 1 species